GACAGAGGGUGCAAACGUUGUUCGGAAUUACUGGGCGUAAAGGGCGCGUAGGCGGCCUUCUAAGUCGAACGUGAAAUCCCUGGGCUCAACCCAGGAACUGCGUCCGAUACUGGACGAGCUUGAAUCGGGAGAGGGAUGCGGAAUUCCAGGUGUAGCGGUGAAAUGCGUAGAUAUCAGGAGGAACACCUAUGGCGAAGGCAGCUCGCUGGAACGUUACUGACGCUGAGACGCGAAAGCGUGGGGAGCAAACAGG
rnacentral:rRNA from 1 species